rnacentral:rRNA from 1 species
AUUGAACGCUGGCGGCAUGCCUUACACAUGCAAGUCGAACGGCAGCACGGGAGCUUGCUCCUGGUGGCGAGUGGCGAACGGGUGAGUAAAGCAUCGGAACGUGCCCUGAAGUGGGGGAUAACGUAGCGAAAGUUACGCUAAUACCGCAUAUUCUGUGAGCAGGAAAGCGGGGGAUCUUCGGACCUCGUGCUUUAGGAGCGGCCGAUGUCGGAUUAGCUAGUUGGUGAGGUAAAGGCUCACCAAGGCGACGAUCCGUAGCGGGUCUGAGAGGAUGAUCCGCCACACUGGGACUGAGACACGGCCCAGACUCCUACGGGAGGCAG